rnacentral:misc_RNA from 1 species
AUGCAAUUCCCAGCCUCCGCAUCAGACCUCGGAAGGUGGUUUUAACCUUAUCAUCCGGCGAACACGAUCCUUAUCAGUGUUCUCCAACAUCCCCUUCCAAACAAUUUCAUCCAGACAAAGACAGAUCCUCCCAUACUUGUCGAGGAAGAGCCGCUCGGUUGGCGGCUUCCCACAUGCAUCCUUAACCGAUGAUGUUAUCGCAAAGAUCACCUCCGCCAAAGCUAGUUCAUCGUACUCAUCCUUGCCAACGACAUAGACACAAACAUCCCCUAGCAUGGUGUAAACGAUAUACACAGACUUGUGCGAAGCAACAAGGAGCUCUUCAUUCUUGGAUCCCCUGAGAUUCUCCGCUCCCAGCUUCACUAGAAAAGAUCGCCAGUGCAAUCGCUCCUCUGCGGGGACGCCAUGGAAGCGUUCGAUGAGGAUGUUGCCGUCGGCGUUGGCGAAGAGGACGGCGAGCAGCAUGGUCGCGAUCCCG